GAUGAACGCUGGCGGCGUGCCUAAUACAUGCAAGUCGAACGCAUAGCGAAAGGUGCUUGCACCUUUCAAGUGAGUGGCGAACGGGUGAGUAACACGUGGACAACCUGCCUCAAGGCUGGGGAUAACAUUUGGAAACAGAUGCUAAUACCGAAUAAAACUUAGUGUCGCAUGACACAAAGUUAAAAGGCGCUUCGGCGUCACCUAGAGAUGGAUCCGCGGUGCAUUAGUUAGUUGGUGGGGUAAAGGCCUACCAAGACAAUGAUGCAUAGCCGAGUUGAGAGGCUGAUCGGCCACAUUGGAACUGAGACACGGCCCAGACUCCUACGGGAGGCAGCAGUAGGGAAUCUUCCACAAUGGGCGAAAGCCUGAUGGAGCAACGCCGCGUGUGUGAUGAAGGCUUUCGGGUCGUAAAGCACUGUUGUAUGGGAAGAACAGCUAGAAGAGGAAAUGAUGUUAGUUUGACGGUACCAUACCAGAAAGGGACGGCUAAAUACGUG
rnacentral:rRNA from 1 species